AGCGAGAAUUCUUUUCGGAACCCUUAGGGGUGAAAAAUUGAAUGGACAGCGGCGGACGGGUGAGUAACGCGUGGGAAAUCUGCCUUGUACAAAGGGAUAGCCUCGGGAAACCGGGAUUAAUACCUUAUAACGCUUCACUACCGCAUGGUAGAAAAGCCAAAACUCACGUGGUACAAGAUGAUCCCGCGUCCCAUUAGCUAAUUGGUGAGGUACUACCUCACCAAGGCGACAAUGGGUAGCCGGCCUUAGAGGGUGAACGGCCACACUGGAACUGAGACACGGUCCAGACUCCUACGGGAGGCAGCAGUGGGGAAUAUUGCACAAUGGAGGAAACUCUGAUGCAACGACGCCGCGUGAGUGAUGAAGGUUUUCCGAUCGUAAAACUCUGUCCUUGGGGAACAUAAUGACGGUACCCAAGGAGGAAGCCCCGGCUAACUACUUGCCAACACCCGCGGUAAUACCUAGGGGGCGAGCGUUAUCAUGAUUUAUUGGGCGUAGGUGGUACGUAUGCGGCCUGAUAAAUCAAAUGUGAACGGCAUCGGCUCAACCAAUGUAAACAUUUGAAACUGUCCGGCUUGAGUACUGGACACGAAAGUGGAAUUCCUAGUGUAGCGGUGAUGUGCUUAGAUAUGAGGAGGAACACCGCUGGCAAAUGCNACUUUCUGGACGGAGACUGACCCUCAGGUACGAAAGC
rnacentral:rRNA from 1 species